rnacentral:lncRNA from 1 species
UUUUUCUUGUGGCCAUCGACGGAAGUUGUUAACACCCUCCCUCGUGUUCUUCUUGGGUGGCAGUGAUCGAUAAAAAAAAAAAAAAAAAAAAAAACCCCGAAUCCAAUUGCUUGGGGUAUGAAGUGCGACUAUCGGCAAUAGAGAAGGACAAGGGAGAGACGAGCGCGAGAGGGUUUACAAGGUUGCGAUCGACUCCUAGUUUCCCUCAUGUGUGUGUUGUCGAUCAGCAAGGAAGAAAAAAAAAAUCGAGCGUGAUUAGGAGCGGGGCAGCAGGAACGAUCGAGAGGGUGUAAGGCUGGCGCGACUUGAGCCGGUUGGCUGUUUUCGUUUUUUGAUUCGGUGUUGAGUUCAAAAUUGCGUCUCUAAUCUGGUGCUGGAAUCGACCUCUUAUAUUGGUAACUCCUUGAUUCUUGAUUCUUUAUAUAAUUAUCUUCAAAUUGCUUUCCAAUUUGUAUCAAUAAUCAUGACUUCUUUUACUUCCUCCUUAUGAUUGCUUGAAUGGACAAAGUCCAGAUUUUGUAAGGUAUUUUAUUGAUUAUUUUCCUGUCAAAGUCCUAUAAAUUCCCUUUUACAUGUUGGUGUGGGUGAUUGGGAGUUGGUUGGAUUGGUUAAGUCAAAUGCUCUCUUUUGGUGUCAUUACUCACAUCGUUUAUCUUCAAUUCUUGUGAUUUCUUGUGUAAUGAUUUUAUGUUUAAGAAUAUGUUCCCAACUCUUCAUAAGAUCCUCAAAAUAGUUUUCCAGUAUAUUCAAAUAUGUGAGUUAGUGGGAGAAAUUCAAACCCAAGUUGGUUCUCUUUUUAAUAUCAUAUGUUGUCUUUCCAUUAAAGACAAUGUACUUUGGACCAUGGUUGGAGGGUGAAACCAUCUUUUUACUCUCAUGUUAUAUUGCUACUGUUUUAAACCUGUUUUUCAGCCAUGUGGUCGAUUUGGGUGGUGACUUAAUGGGUUAAGUGGUCAAAAUGUCCUUGAAAUUCAAAGCUCGAAAAUUCUGAAAAAUUUAUCAUUCUGCCCCUGUUUUGGAAAAAAUGUAGAAAAAUCAUCAGAAGUCGUAUCAGUGAUCCGUAAACUCUCAAAGUUUUCAUUUUGAGUCUAGUUUGUCCAUGAAUUUUUCCAAUACCUGUUGUUGCCUCCAACUUAGGUGAAAAUCGCCUUUUUCACUGACUGGUCGGAAAUUAGCUGUACAGAUAGACUGUUUUGUAAAAAUCAUAUAAAAUUGUAGAAAAAUCGUUUGGACUUUUAAAAGUACUUUAUGAAAAGAUAAAAGUACAAACUACUGGAAUAUACAAAAAUAUUGUAUAAUUUGCAGUCCUUGGUGGUGUUAAAAUGGCUUUGAACAGGUGGCUGUUACGGGUCAAAAUCUUGAACUUUGUUCUAAACGUUCGUCUAUAUGUUUAGGCAUUCUACUCUCAAUGUUUUUGUGUCAUAUGUUUGAUAUUCUCAUAAAAGUACAUAAUUGAUGUCUUAAUACUACCAUUCAAUCAUCUUGUGUGUAAAACUGAGCAUUUUUAAUCAUUUACCUAAAGUCUUGAAUCAUAUAGUGAUUUUUGGUGAGUGUUAGAAUUCUGCACAGCAACUUUUCCCCAUCUUGCGAGAGAUAUAGCUGCUAAUAUGGGAAGAAUUGGAAGAUGCUCCUCUCUCAUGAAGCUCUAGGAAAUCGAGUCUAGUUUUCGAAAAGUCCGGAUUUAGUCCAAUCGGAGUUACAGAUUCUGUUUUAUGACCAAAACACUGAACAGUGGUCAAGCUGUGAAACUUAAAAAAAUAUAUGUAACCCAUUAAGAAAUUAAAGGUGUUAAUGAAACUUGGACCCCAUUUUGAUGAUUGCUUGGCAUGUGUGAUUAUUAGGUGAAAACUUGACAACUUCAAGAAGGUUCAAGGCUUGAAUUAAAAAGAACUCGCUUCAAACAUAAGGUGAGUCGACAAUUUCUGUUGACUUUAGUGCAUAACCGGAAACCACAUCUCGUAUGUAGAUUGUUGAUGCAAAUUAGGAUUCAUGCUAUAUUUUUAUAAAUGCUUGUGAUAAUUAUUGAAAAUAUGUUGUUUGCAUCUUGUGUGUGGUUAUUCCUUGGUAUCAGUUGCUAUGGUGAUAUUCAUGUUAUGUGAACGUUGUAAGUUGCAUGCGGAUAUGAUGUUACAUG